rnacentral:misc_RNA from 1 species
GGAAGUAAAAGUGUAACAAGGUUUCCGUAGGUGAACCUGCGGAAGGAUCAUUACUGAGUGUGGGCCCCUCGGGGUCCAACCUCCCACCCGUGUUUAACGAACCUUGUUGCUUCGGCGGGCCCGCCUCACGGCCGCCGGGGGGCAUCUGCCCCCGGGCCCGCGCCCGCCGAAGCCACCUGUGAACGCUGUCUGAAGUAUGCAGUCUGAGACAAUUAUUAAAUUAAUUAAAACUUUCAACAACGGAUCUCUUGGUUCCG